UCAGUCUAAUGCUCUUGAUAGUGAAGGCAUGCUCAGCUUUGUAAAAACAGUGCACUUCUGGCUCUAGGCUAAAGCUAUUUUAUUUUUUUCUUUCCAGAUCACAGCCUUUUAAGACGCUAAUAACUGCAUAUGUCAUUGAAUAACACUUCAGCAUUGUUUGAAUCCUUGCUAUUAAUGGGCUACAUAUCUCAACUACAGCCUUAUCCAUAGAGCUUGUAUGUGAACAGAGACAAGUCCAGCUUGACUCCAUUGCCUUUCAAAAAACAGGAAAUUGCAGCAUUUCUUCAUCCGAUACAUUAAUAACAUGAAGGAACUUUAAAGCUUUUCUUCCUUCUUGGCUUUCACCUGUUCUGACCACAUGUAUUUGCUUCUGCCGAGUCACAAGAGACCAGCUGCAGUUUAAAGAAAAUAUGCAGGGAGUUUGAGCUGUAUUCUUGGAAAACCAGCCUUGCCACUCAGUGGCUGCUCUGCCCUAUGGAAAUACCAGAUUCCAAAGCCUGUGGGAACCAGUCCGGCUCAGUAGACCUCCCUUACUUUCACUGCCUGCUUUAUCAUUCAUGCUUUUCACUUGUCACGUACCCAGAUGCUACAAGAAUGGGCAGACUAUGGGCCUAACUGAAGUCUACUGACAUCAAAAGACUCCCAUUGACUUUAACAGACACUGGAGCUAACCCUCUAUAAAUCACUGAAAGUCAGUGAUUAAACAGACAGUCCCUUCUGAAUAGUGGAGAGACUAAUAAAACGCCCCCGAAAUUUACUUCCUGUAUUAAGUCCAAACAUGCACGCUUUGAGGCAAUUCUGCAACCUGUCUGCUUUACCUCAUAAUUUCCCUGCUGAAGGUAUUUCAAAGAGAAAGAGAAAUAGUUUCUCAUUGAGCCAGGACAGUACCUUCAUAAUUGCACUCCUACUUGGGGAGUUAUAGCAGCCUUGCUGUAUUUCCCGUGCACGGGCCCAGUGGCUCCCAGAGGCAGAGCUGGGCCCAUGCCUGCACCGAUGCCAACAGCUGCAUUCCCAUCCAGGAGUUCCCCAAAUCCUGAUGUGGACCACAGAGAGAGGGUAUCUGGAAGCUGACAGAUAACACUAAGUAAUUGGUGGUUGAGGUUCAUUUGAGGUCUGUGACACACCCUCUGAAUCCUGAACUGACUUCAUUAAUUUAAGUAACUAAUUGACUGGUGGAGUCCUCGCAAGCAUUCCCGGUGCACUGUCGUGGAAUACCCCCUGCUGCGCCUAGGAGCCUGGCAGCCGUGCCCGUGAAGUCAGAGAGCCUUCACAGCAUGCUUCUCACCUGGGUGCCUUAGCUAAUUUUCACAGCUGCAUAAAGAACAACGCUGACGCAUGCCCCAUCUUCGAGGGGUUGAAAUGUGACUGAAGGCGUACCUCGCAGUGCACGCUGCGUGCGUAUUUGACCAUGUCAUCUGCCUGAAAAGUGAUUGCCCUGCUGUAGUCCACCCUGAGUCAGUUGAGACAACCAUCUUUCAUUUAUCUGUUAGCAUCUUCCACCCACUCGCCGGCUUCUUCUGCACAAAAUGGCACUGGGCUGACAGGUUUGAUGAUAUGCAGAUGAUAUUUGGCCUUGACUCCUGACCCUCCUAAAGACACAUAUCUUCAGGAAAUCUUAUGCCAUGCAAAGGCGAAAUGUUCAGCUCACUAAGGGGACACACAACUACUCCUAACCCUAGGCCAUUUGACAUUUAUUUUUUUUUAUACUUACAGCUAAAGCAUUUGGAAAACAAAGGAAAACAUUUAUGAACACUAAUAAAUAUAUAAUAUCUCAAAGACCUUUUUUAAGGGAAAAAAACACAAAAUGACGUGAUCAAAAAAGGCAAGGAAAAGCAUUCCAAAAAUGUUUUUGUUCAGAAUUUUCUA